AGAGUUUGAUCAUGGCUCAGAAUGAACGCUGGCGGCGUGCCUUACACAUGCAAGUCGGAUGUGUCGCAAGACACAUGGCAGACGGGUGAGUAACACGUGGGAAACUUACCUCUUAGUGGGGAAUAACGCUCCGAAAGGAGGUUAAUACCGCAUGAGACCUAUCGCUGGGAUGCGAUAGAUGAAAGCUGGGGAUCGUAAGACCUAGCGCUGAGAGAGAGUCCUGCGUCUGAUUAGUUAGUUGGUGAGGUAACGGCUCACCAAGACUCCCAUCAGUAGCCGGCCUGAGAGGGCGAUCGGCCACACUGGAACUGAGACACGGUCCAGACUCCUACGGGAGGCAGCAGUGGGGAAUCUUGCGCAAUGGGCGAAAGCCUGACGCAG
rnacentral:rRNA from 1 species